UUCCUGUUGAUUAUGAUCACAAAUGAGGUCAUAUCAUUAGUCUCAAAAUACUAUAAUUGUGCGGACGUGGGGCGGUACUGAUUUUUAUUUCGUACAUUGCGUGUAGAAGGCGCGUGGUCCAUACAUCUUCUAAUAAAGAGUACAGAUGGAAUCAAGAUAAAAAAAAUUUCCCAAUACAAGUAAAGAUGUGAUGAAGUAUAGAUCUUUAAUAUUGGAGGGCGUUUCGUGCACGAAAUAGACCAUAACCACAGGGACUGGUCCCCAGCCAAAAAUCUGAGCUUGAGCCUUCGAUAUCAUGUUAAAUGGCUGUUUGAAUGUCCAAAUAUGUGGGAAAAGUUGGAAGGACUCAGAGAUAUCAUUAUAUAAAUUAUGUCUUACCAGAACGAGCAAUGGUAAAGACAUCAAGGAACAAUUAAAAAGAAACGUUCAGUGAUUAAUCACCGGUGAUCGUCUUCGAGAUCGGGGACCUCGGAGAUGUUUGAGACUGGGAGAUGGCGGAGGUGGAAGGUGCUCUCCCAGUCGAUGUCGUCGACCUCGGACUGAGCGGCCUCGAGGCCUUUGCUCGCCACCAUCUGCUUGAACUUGUGCUCCAUGCACUUCGCGUAGUGCUCCUUGGUCAGCCUCUCCACACCGUCCAUCAGCUGGUGUGAUAUCCCAUGGUUCACCAACUUCACAGUAUGAAGAUAAAAUCAGCACAAGGAAACGAUUGUGAUCCACCAUCACUCAAAACACAGUUUGUCUUAAUGAAAUAGUUCGUCUUAUGUUCUCUAAUGGGUAGUGUAAUAAAAGCUUAAUUACCUCAAAGAAGCCCCAAUUUUCACAGGCAUCUUUGAUCUUGGCCAUGGUGGCUCCUCUCUCUUCACCAUUCAGCUUCUCCAGAUCAAUCACAGGGAACGACUCCAUAUCUCUCUCUCUCUCUCUCUCUCUCUCUCUCUCUCUCUCUGCGUGAUGACUCUUGUGUAGUUUGGAGAGGUGGAGUGAAAUGGGGGUGAUAUUUAUAGGCACUAAAAGUGUGAUCAACAAGGAAGGAACUAAGAAAAUGGGUGCUCCAGUAAUUGGCAGAAUAAAAUGAAAAAGCAAAAGUUAUAGGUCAAAAUCUAAGUUAAAAGAAGCAAUUAAAUCGUGAAGCAUGAAUCUGUUCACAUCUCGUGUGAUGGACCCCCACCCUAUUGGGUCUCCGAGGCACUGUUGAGUCAUCUUCUUUGUUGAGUUGGUUUCUUGGGUCCCAUUCUGAUGCAACUUCACUCCACUUCUAAUCUUGCUCUUUCUUGAUGGGCAUGGCCAAAAAAGAAAAAUUGCAAAUUCUUUCCUUUACCCAUGCACUAGCCACCUAUAUACAUGUAUUUAUUUCCUCUGCUUGGAUGCUGUGAAAAUAGGAUCUAUGGAGCUGCUUUCUCAGUAACCUGCUUGACUUGGAUUAUGAUUUCAAUUGGAAGUCUUUGCAAACAGGCGGAUGUGUUAAGAUUAGGUACGCUAGAGAAAGAGAAAUUAAGAUACAAAGUUUAUUUUAAUUCAUCCUCAAACUAGACCUAUAUCCAACAGAUCAUUCCAUUACAUGAACCACACCCCAAUAGGAUGAAUCUUGAAUUCUACUGCCUUGCACUUUCACAUCAAUUAUCCUGAUAUCUUUAUUUACUAAAAUGCCAUUUUCUUUCCAAAAAUACUGAAUCCCAAACCCCAAAUUCCCGUAUCCACCCAACUCACUCAAAACCCAACUAAGGACCAGGCUGCCUCAAACCCUAAAGCAUUGGCUAAAAUGAGUUUGCAAGGAGGAGUCGUUUGAUCUUUUCAUUGUGGGGUUUUCACUCGGAAAUAAAGGUAUGUAAGUGGUCCAUUUAUUUGUCAUUUUUUACUAUCAGAUGGAUAUGUAGUGACUUUGCAUAUAUCUACAUGAUAUAUCAAUUAUAAAGAAAUUACAUCUAGACCCUCAACUUGCUUUCCAUUGAUGCAAACUUUCUAGUUUUGCACUUGAACAGAUAUGUCAAAUUGCAUGUGAAGCGAGAUACAUUGUAAGUGUUGCUCAGGUUAACAUGACACGCGGUACAAGAAAUUUCUGGGGGAACCAUGCAGCAACCUAUUUGUGAUUAGGGUUAUACGUUGCUGAGUACGACCCAAUUAAUUGGGAAGGAGCCAACCAGCUAGACAUGUACGUUUUCAUAACAGCGAUUCAUAUCUUCACUGUUACAGGGGUCGAUUUUCUUGAACAGGUGUCUGACAGAUGUGUCUGCAUGGAUGCAUGGCUUAGAUCUCUCUUGUGCUCCACCACUUUAAACGUAUAUAUUCUGAAAGGUUAAGUUGUAUUUUUGGAGAUUAUCCCUUUAAAGAAGUGAAUUCACACAGUUCUUAACAAACGAUAGUUCUUGUUUCUGUAUCUUUUUCUGAAAACCUCAAAAUGGAUAGCUUUAUAUAUUUUUAAAGGUGUUAAUUUUAGGUCGGAUUCCAAUGUUGACCUAAACUCUUUUUCUUGUCUCAUCUAUAAGAUCGACUUCAAAUCUAGCCCAAAUAGUUAUUUGUCUCAUGAAAAAACAUAAACUUUAAAUCAGGUUUCAAUUCUGAUCCGACUUUUUAGUUGUCUCAUGAAAAAUACAAACUUUCAGUCAAUAUUCAAAUUUGCCACCGUCAAGUUUCUGUCCUAUAAUGUCUCGGAAAAUUCGAUGUUUCGCUCCACAUGCCAUGUGAUGAAACCUGAGGCCGGUGAAAUUCGGGUAACGACUGAAAGUUGGUUUUUUUUUAUGAUAUAGAAAAAGGUUGGGUCAGAAUUGAAACUCGCAUAAAAUCAGGACUUUUUAAAGAAGAUUGGGCCAUUUUUGUUUCUAUAUAUAUCAUAGACUAUCCCUGAAGCUCGGAACAAUAUUUCAACAAGUGAUUUUUUUACAUUGGUAACGAUAAUUUUUUACUAAAAUGGUUGAGAAUCUAUUGAUGAGACGUGUCCAUGAAAAUCUUUGUCUUCAUCCCCCACUUUGUGAAAGUGGGGACAAUAAUUGAGCUCCACAACCUCCCGGAUACAAUGCCAUCAUCAUCAUCAUCAAAGGAGGUCCCACCAGUUUGAUCCAAUCAUUUUGCUCGUUCGAUUCCAUGGGAUUUCUAUGGUGAUGACUGAUGACCAACUAUAACAUCACAGACAAUACCCAGCAAAAAGAAAACCAACGCAUGCCAAGCAGAAAAUCAUCAAAGAGUGAACCAAGAAAGUAGGAAGAAAGGUGUAAUGGCCGGUGAAAUAAAUGGGGAAGGACAACUCUUUUAAUCAUUGUGGAUCUAAUCAAGGAUUUUUAUGGUUUUGGUGGUGGGCAAUUUUGUCGAGAAAAUAUAAAAUAAUAAUAAUAAUAGUUAUGAAGAUAUGCAUCUCAAGAUUAUUAGAGGUUAUUAACUACUUAAAUCAAUCUACUUGAUAUCGUAUUUUAUCAUAUAAUGAAAUGCAUUAUUAUCACUCAUUCAUUUUUUCACAAUUUUAUAGAUUUAGGAAAAAUUUCAGGAAAAUCUCAACAAAUAAAUCUCUAAAGUGGAGUAAUUUUCGCAAUGUAACCCCAAACUAGUUUUGUCCCACACAACCCCUCAAAAGGGAUAACUAUGCAUCAAUGGACCCCUUACUCUCAUGAGUGCACCUCAUGUUUACAUUUCAUACCAUUUUCAAGGUUCUUGUUUCUCAAAAAUCUAUGCUUAUCCAAUAGUUAAAACUCUACACAUGUCAAUGCAGUUUUUAUUUAAUUUAAAAGAAAAGCGAAAAUGAUUAGAUAAACCCUCUUUACCAUCUUUAGUGAGUCGUAUCCAUUCUCAAAUGAUUCUCAAGUAUAGAAAAUUGGAUUUCCAUGUGCUUAGCAAACCUCCCUCUGAGAUUUAGAUGAUACCAAAAUUAUAUAUUUUAAAGUUUAGAUGUUUUUUAAUAUCAGCGGAUGAUGAUUUCUAGAAGACUAUGAUUGUGUCAUUGAUUUCCUAAGGAUGUCUACAAAGUGUGAAUACCUUGAUAAACGGUGAACAAGAUAUUAAUCACUAAGGUAUCUACAAGCUAGGUGGACAUGAUAGAAGGUAAACAAGUUAAAAGGAAUGACUUGGAGAUAUCAUGGAUAUGUCGACAGUUGGGUGGAACUUUGACCACUAAUAUGCUUGGAAGGACCGUGAGAAGGUGAACAUCUGAGUAGAGUCGUGGAAGGUGAUAUAGCUUGAAAGACUAGUAGAUAGCAAAUCACGAGUCAAUUUCCAAGGAAUUGCUUGGACAACAUCAUCAAGUAAUUGAUAAAGGUAGCUCCCUUUAUAAAGUGAUGAAGAGCAUUGUAUCAUGCCUCUAUCGAUGAUCUGGAAGGUGAGGAUCACUUAUUUACCACGACAUGACCGUUGAAUGGAAGGAAAAUAGCCAUUAUCAAGGUUGGAAAUUCAUGACAAGAGGACUAGAGAUGAGUCAGAACAUUUUUUGCCAAUUUCGGUCUAGCAAUCGUAGAAAUAGUUGAUGGACAAUGGCAGCAGACUCCAUUCUAAGAAGCCUUGCUUUUACUAAUAAAAACAGAUUGUUUGGGCAACCCGGACAUCGAUGCUUGCUCCUAUCGACGCCCAACGGCUACUUGAUCCAUCUGAAGACUCUCCAACAGUUAUGCUGGAGAAGGUAUGUCUAUGAAGGACGAUCAUCGACGCAAGUUGAAGGGGUCGGCAGAAAUUGAGAAAGCUUACUCUGUUAUCAUCAACUUCUCUUUCCAUUGUGCAAAUUGUGCUAUUGUCUGUUUGUGAUUCUCUCUAUUGUACAGUCCUUGUUGCUUUUGUAAUUUGGGAUUAGGGAAGUGUAUGAGUGUGAAAGUAGCCAUGCAUUUUUAUAGAGUGAUCGAUCAUGUGAUGGAAACAACUAUUGCUAUAUUAUAACUCUCUCAAGAUUAUUAGCAGAUUCAAGCCAAUAUUGUGGCUAUUAGUGAUGGAGAGUGGACGUAAACUUAGUUAUAGGUCGAAUCAUUAUAUAUCCGUGUGCAAGGUAGUCUAUUUGCUUAUUAUUGUCUAUAUAUAUUUGAUAGAAAUGUCUACGUCAGAUAUUAUUAAGUUGUUCUUGCAUCUAUCAAAUUUAACUUGAUACUUCUCAAAAAUUUGUUUACUUUCUAAAUCAACCCAUUCACCUCUUCUAGAUUGUAUCAUUGAACUUAGCACCACGCAGCUCAAUUCACCACGUUUCUAAAUUAUCGUAUUACUAAAGUCAACUUGGUCAAAUUGAAGGGAAAAAAAACUACUAUUUAUAAUUUAAAAGGUCUCCAAUCUGAAGUCCUAAUCAAGAUUCUCGAGAUUCAAUUGCUCUCCAUUUCAGAUAUAAAGAGAAAAUACAAGUUUGUCCGAUGUUAUUUACUAUAGAUCUAGUCCAUGUAUCAUUUCCUAGGGAACUUCAAAGUGGCUCUAUUUCAUAGUAUUCUAUCUAUAUCUCAUUUUCAUCCAUUUAAUAUCACUUUGGCGUCCUUGACUGAAGAGAUAUCAUUUCUAGUUACUCACACAAAUAAAAAUAUACAAAAUUAAACAUCUAUCCCUAUAGCAGUGAUUACUUUUUCCUUUUCCCCAAAUUAAGACACCAUCAUGGAGCCAGAAAAAGAAGCAUUUUAAACUAUGAUAAUCAAUUAAUCAAUGCUCAUGAUUCCUAAACUCUAGAGUCUUGAUGAACCUACAUUUAUUUCUACUUUAAGAGCAUUCUCUAUGAGCUUUCUUUGCAUGUGAGCAGCAACUUUGGAUCUCUAAUGAUUGUCAGAGGAUCUAGUUCGAUUGCCUAUCCAACCACACGUGCUGUCCUACAAGAAGUAAGGACAGCAUAAUACACUUCACUAGGUUGUUCUUACUGAGAAGUCUCCCCUCGGUUGGCCCCUUUCUAAUAGAAGUCCUCAAUUUGCGUGCUUUUGCAUGUCACUAAUCAGUGGAUAGGGUUUUCACUAAACAAAAGCGUCGAGUGAGUCAGCUAUCUCUAAGCAAGACUAUGUCUACUAAAAAACGUUACUAAACCUAUUCCCGUCAUGACUUUAUAUUGGCGCUUAGACGGAUUAAACAUUCUAUACAUCCCACCUAUUUGAACACUAAUUUGAGAUUUGUUGUAUCUGAUACAAAUCAAUUUUUCUAGUAAUACAUUUAACGUUUGAUCUUGAUCGGAAAUCUCGGCAAUGAUUUCCAGGGUCAGAAGGAAUUCAGUGCAACGACAUCAAAUCACUAGUAAGGGCAAAAGGGUGGUCAUAUAACCGUCAAUGGACAAGAAAGAGGUUCACUGUGGCACAUUAAUGAGAUGCAAGGCUCAUACUCCUACGAUACGGUUCUUAGGAAUACUUUGUUGUCUUUCUACAUUACUAACCAAAAGAGGAAUUAGUAGAACAUCGCUAUAGAAAGUGACACCCAAUGGAAUUAUGCAUUUUAAUGGUCCUCUUGGCUAAAUGAAUGGGCUAUUCAUGGACCAUUAAAUGGGUCAAAGGGUGAAUGGAGUCAACCUUAUUGUCCUUAUGUUACAUCAAGAAGAUUAUGAUCUUCCCAAUAAUUCCCUUCGUUGACUGAUUUCGCAAAAGGCUGCUAUGUAAAGGGACGACUUAGGUCAAAUAAGAUGUAACACAUCAAGGCGUGCUUCACGUUCACAUCUCUUCAAAUUUGCGGUGUCGUUUUACCAAAGUUUGGUUCAAGUUCAAGGUUCUGUGCAUCGAGGCCUUUCAUGCUUUCUUUGGUGAUUUGUGGUCACCUGCUUUGGAAAUAAAGGCAGUGGUCCAUCUUAAGACCUUGGACAUGUGACUGCCUAUACACGAAGUUGUAGAUUUUACUUCUUUGGCCACACGUGAGGCUCAGAUUGCAAUGCCGCAACUUAUCCCAUGUUGUACAAAUAAAAGAUUAUCCAAUUCCUUUAACCACUAAGUUCAAUGAAUCCUCUCCAUCUAAAGGGUUGAAUUCACUCAAUUCAUCUCCUUAAGCUUUUCGCCUCAAUAUUUGACUGGUGAAGCCGACGUGAUUAUUGAAAACUUUCUAAGGCCUUGAAACAAGUAGAGGACCAUAGCGCAGGUCUAGGACAAGAGUUUGUAGUGCUUGAUAAAUAGGCCGUAACUUUUAAUAUGGGAGGAGUUACGGGACGCAUGUCCGAAGGAAGCUUGUUCACGGUGAUAUGCCUUGGCUGAACAGGAUACCCAGUUUCAUGUAAUUUUCAACCUCAAAAUCCAUUGUUUUCGGGGGUGAGCAUGAUCCAACUUGGGCUAGUCCACCUCCUAACCUUAGGACUAAUCCACAUAGUAUUUAUCCUCAAUUUUUGGGAUCAAGGACCAACUCUAUUGAGCCUGAGAACGAGAACUAAACCGACCCAAUGGGUUCGAUCAGUUUUAGGGUCAACUUUGAGACCAAGGAUUGGACUGACCUAAUGGAUUCGGUUCGGUUCUAAGGUCAAUUCAGGACCAAUUGAUAAUUUUUUUUUUCAUUUUUUGUAUUCCUUGAAAAGGUGAUUGAUGAUCGGACUGAUUCAAUGGAUUCGGCGACGAGCAAGGUCAACAAAGAGAGGUGACCGGCACGAGAGGCGAGCGGCAAGCGGGCACGAGCAACCAGAAACGAGCGAGGUGAGUGUCGAGCAGUGAGUGGAGAAGUUAUUUUUUUCGAUUUUAACAAAAUUGAAGACUAAGAGGACAAAAAAGACAUCAAAGAACAAGUACUAGAGGAGGAUAUCGUGAGGAGUUGUUUACGCUGUUUUGGAUGCUAUGAGGACUCCACACUAAGACAUUUUUCUCAUUUGUAAAUUACAGCCGUUGACACUGUAAAAGACAUUAAAAGUUUAGGCUAUUAAAGAUUAAUGAGAUCACUUGGACUCCUUACUAAGGAACCAUUUAAUGUUGUUGAAAAUUACAAAUAAUACAUUAGAUAUAUAAUGUAUAUAAUAUAUACAGUCAAGGUUUAUUCGGGUUAAACCAACAAUAAGUUCCUAGGAUCAAGGAUUGAUCCACAUAGUACUGGUCCAAGUAUCCCAAGAUCAAGGACCGACCCAGUCCUCUUAGGAAUUGAUCUAGGACCGGUAGGGUUGGAUCGGUCCAAUGUUAGUCCAAGAUUGACCCUAAAUCGAUACUCACCCCUAGUUUCCAUGGGUUUUCAAACCAUUUUUCUAUUUUUAGGCUCACUCUCUUCACUGUUUCAGUUCCUAGUUGUAAUUUGUCUUUUAUUACCAGUUUUCCCUUCAUGCUGUUAGAGGCCAAUCUUGGGUUACCUAGGGUUUAGGGAGUGCUCUUGUCGUGCUUGAUGGAAGGUAUACAGGUUGUGAUGACUUUUGCUUGUUGUUAAUCACUUUUGCGUGUUUGUGAAGUAAUCUAGUUGGAUUUAUUAAUUAUUUCUGCUGUGUUUGUAUGCUCAGUCGUAUUAAGUUACGCCGAUUCUGUCCAUCCAAGGUUUUCUUAUGGACUUAGGUCACGGCAAUCCAUCAAAAUGCAAAUGACCAGCAGCAUGAUUUCAUGAAUUGAGCUCAGAAAAGUUGGAAAUAUUUAGCUUGAACAAACUAGUCAACUCCUGUUCUCUUGACUAAUCGCAUCUGAAGCAUGUGCUGCACAGCAUGGCAAUCUGCCCUCUUUUGGAAAACUAAAGUUAUCUUGUCUUUAGGAGAAAGAGAUCCUAAGACAAUGAAACAAGGAACAUGCAUGUUUCUCUCCUGAGUAUGGUCCUCCCUCCCUCCCUCCCUUCCUCUCUCUCUCUCUCUCUCUCUCUCUCUCUCUCUCUCUCUCUCUCUCUCUCUCUCUCUCUCUCUCUCUCUCUCUCUCACUUUGGCCACUUGCAUUGUUUCCCACACUUUGCCAUGUGCCAUGAGCAUGUGGUGGAUCCCAUUUCAACUGCCCCAUCCUUCCCAAAAGAAGAUAAAAACCGAGUCAUGAACAAAUUAGAUAAGAUCCUAAAUGUUCUUGGAACACGACCUUUUUUUUCUUUUCUCCCAUUCAAAUCAAUCAUCGAGAACAGAAUGGAUUAUCGUAUAUGGAAACCAAUUCAUAGGAUCCGGUACAAAUCGUAUAGAGGUAACAACAAUGAUGCUGCUAUAAGUCUGGUUUUUGAUUGAUUUUGGACAAGCAAUGAUUUACGACUCCAGUUAAUGCUCUUCAAAUGUGAUGAUAAUGAUGACAUUUCUUGACGAUAAUUUUCCAUUCGAGUGCAUUCACAAUCUAAUGCCGAAAGCUUUCUGACAAUUUCGUCAUGUCAAGAGGCGGAUGCUUUAAUGGGGGGAGUCCCAGUGACAUCUUCCUUCUUCAGUCGAGGAAAGAUUGAGGGAAUCAAAAUCAAACUUUAGGAUUAAACUUUGGGCACAAAGUUAGGUGGCGAAGAGAGCGACUGCCACGGCCACCAUUCAGUCAUCUGUCUAAACAUAGAAAGACCACAAAGACAACAAGAAAAGGCAAUCUUACUAUAUUAUCUAACAAAAUAAAUAAAUAAAUAACGGAUCUCCAAAAAGAAUUCAGGUUCUCACUCAGCAGCCAAAAGAAAGACAACAGUAUUCAUUAUAGAAUGAAAUUUUAUCUCCACUAGAUAAGCGUCUUACUUGUACCGUCCUGAUCCAGGAAGUUGAUAUUGAUGCUAAUUUUCUGUGGGGAACUCUUUGACACUUCGAAAGCAAGCUCCCCGUUUGAAGGACAUGAUAUUUUUUUCUCCCUUCUCUCUCUAACAGUUGUUAUUUGCAGCCCUGCCACGUGGCACCACCUGGAGCACUCCUCUCGAGAUUAGGUUACGGUCAAACAUGCCGAGAUUGUCGGAGGAAAUUAAAAUCACUGCUCUUUUUCAUUCUGUCGAGAUUGAAGUCGAACCGAAGUAGUUGGCACGCACCGAUCAUAUUAAGGGUUGUUCUUCUCAUGUUGUCAUUGUCGUGUAGCCCUCGUGCUGGCCCCAUUCAUGCAUGUAAGGUUGCGAUCCACACAAUGUAACGUGUAUGCAACCGAUCCAUUUAAUUGUAAGAAGCUAGAACCGAUGAGGUUGGAAAGUCAACGCCCGCAAAAGUUAUUAAACCGUAGGGUGCGUUUGUUUCACGGAAAACCUUUUCAGGGAAAACGUUUUCCUCAUUUUCUGGCGUUUGGGUCGCUUAGAAAAAUGGGUCAACGGAAAACGUUUUCCUAACAAAACUUAAAUUCAGGAAAAUGAUUUCCCUUUUGAAAGAACCGAAAAACGUUUUCCGAAUCUACCAAAGCUUAGAUUUGAUGCUUGGUUUACAAACAAUUAUUCUUAUAAAAAUAUAUUUUAAAAAAAUUGAAUUUGAAUUUUUUCUUUUUUAAAAAAAAUUUGGAAAACAUUUUUUUAAAAAAAAUUCGAAUUUGCUUAUUUUUCUUUUUCUUUUCUUCCUUUCUCUUUUUGCUUCUUCUUCACCCAUCACUGGCCACAAGGACAGCCAGUGAGCUUUGGUCUCACCGAAUCGAGCAAUCUCAUGGCCUUCGACAACAAGGCUUGAGCUUACCCGAGGCCGAUGAGCCUCAAGCCUUGCUAAAUCGGGUGAACUCGUGGCCUCCAAUGAUGAGGUUCAAGCCUUGCCAGAUUGGGCGAGCUCGCAGCCUCUAGCGGCCAGCUGGUGAGCUCGGUGCCUCUGGCGACAGCUGGAGCUCACCCCUUGUAAGCCAGGUAGGAAAAAAAUUCCUGUGAUGAAGUGUGAAAUUAUUUUUUUAAUGGGAUCCAAACGGCAGAAAACAUUUUCAAUUAUACAUCACCAAACAAAGGAAAACAAACCGUAUUCUUGGAAAAUGCUUUCCCGGAAAACAUUUUCCUUUAUCAUUUUGUUUUCCAUGAAACAAACGCACCCGUAGUUUGAAGUUAAAAUAUGUCUUGAACAUUGUAUUAAGUUGACAAGAAAGUCAACAUGAGAUACUUUAUGCACCUUCAAGUGUGAGCAUUGAAAAAAAUUUGAUCUUGUGCUACAAAUAAGUCACGAGAGGGUAAUUUCAGCAUCAUGGUAAUUUCAGACUAAUUGAAAGUUGAAUUAGUGUGAUAGAACAAAUAGCCAUUCCAUAAUUAGAUCGUGUUUGGUAGGUGAUACAAUAUGAUUAAUCGUUUUUACCAAAAUACAAACCGCAAGGCACUCGACAAAAAGAAAAAAAGUGUCGAACUAUAUAUGACGUAGCUGUUUGUGAAGUAGAAAUCGAGUUCCAGAUCUCUCGAUUUUUAAAGCGAAAGGUCGUGAUCGUUUGACCACUCAGACCAUUCCAUUCGGGUCGAACCCGAAUUAUCCAAAUAGGAUCCGAGUGAGAGGUCUUCCAUCAUCUUCUUGCGCAAGCUGUGCCUCUUCUGUAGCAAGCCCUUGGGCAUUGUUAAUUCCAGAUUCUCAUGUCUUAAAGAGUUACAAUCCUGAGCUUGGCCACUUUCUUUUCUUGGUUUCUUUUGGCUUUAUCCCACAUGAUAGAGAUGAAUCCCUCCUCUAAAUAGCCGGUUCUCUACGUUUGUACCCUGAUUAAAGUAUUAUUAGGAAUAUUGGCAUCGAUCUAUCAAAUUGGUAUGUCAUCACACCUACAUUAUUUUUGUUAAGAAAUCUCAGAUAGCUUGUCUGUGAAAUUUCAAAGGAACGUAUAUCUAGUGUCAUCCGCCUAAUAGCUUAAACAUUUGGAUAUAAAAGUUGUGAAUAUAACUUAAGUUGCUAUUGGAGUUAAAGGUAUUAAGUUCUGUUCCAAAUGCCCCUUUCAUUUAUAUAUGGAUUCGCUUUUUAUCAUGCGCAGUAAACUUAGAAAAGAAACGUCCACAUGCGUUAGCUUUGCAUGGCCAAAGCCUUUGUCAUCGAAUCAACCUUCACGUGAGGGAGAAUAUUAAAAUUGAAACAUAUUCCACACCUUAUAAGCUUUUUGAUGGGGCUAUUACGACGGUGUGAGAGUCAGGGUGGGCAUGCUAAGUGUCAGAUAUAAUUUCUCUUAGUCCACAUAGCUGGAUAUGGGAUUGUGACUCAAAUAAAUAAGUUCCGUGCAAUCUUAAAUUAGCUUGGUUCGUUUUAAAGAUGUGCUGGAGCGAGUAUGGUCACAGCCGAUACAAACAAUAUCAAGUAGAUGAUUGCCCAGGUUUAGGCCGCCCAUUUAGUGGUAUCAGAGCCAAUUUCACCCCAUAUAUUUUGCAUGCGUGGCUCCCCAUGCGGUAGUUCCACGUGCCGUCCUUGGUCCAAUUUACGCAUGAGAUAAGGGCUUGUAGCACUUGAAUGCGAAUCUAAACAUAAUUUUUUCAUAUCAAUCGCUCAUGUGUCUCGGAAUCGCAUACCGGUGACCUCAAUCGAAUAACGAAUGCAUUCAAAGAUAGGUGCGAAAGAGAGACCAUAGCCAACUUUCGAACACUCUCAUCGUUCCAGGAAUACCAGUGCAUCAACAUCGAUAAAAGCAAAGGGACAAUGGCAGCAACUGUUGUAUCAGAAUGCUGAGCCAGCACGAUGGUAACUUGAGAACCCAGACAACAGUAGAAGCCUGUCUUCUUUGUUCUUUGUCCUUAAAGUUGAAUUUGACGAACACAUCGAUGCACGUCCCGCACGACCCACAGAGGCCUAAAAGAGAGCUUUUUACAUAUUCUUCAAAGGCAUUCCUUACACGUAACACCUGAAAAAUCUGUUUCUUACUCUCUCCGAAUCAUGUUCGCUCAGCCCUUUUUUUUUUUUUUUUUUUUUUUUUUUUUUUUUUUUUUUUUGUGCCGCAUUGUUCACAUGCUUAUCCACCAUGUGACUGGGUAGCUUACAUGCUUAUCCACCAUGAAGCUUUUAGAGGGUCCAUUCGGCUUUUGCUUUAGCUCACAACAUGUUUCUUUUUUUUCCUUUUCAAAUAAUACUUUCAAUUAAUGUUGACAACUCACAUAUUUUUUUUACUCUUUCUUCUUCUUCUUCUUACUCUUCUCCUUUUUUUUUUAAUAGUAGGUAUCCGGACCUUGCAACUCAAUUCAUCCAUAUAAAUCUACAGAAACCGCCCUAUCCAAGUGCAUUGGGUAAGCCUUUACCUAUAGGGUAGUGGGCGUGGCCACCAAAGUUAACAUGAGGUGGGCGAUGCUAUGAUUUAAACACGGGAUAUGUUGGACCUUAACCAAACACUUAACUACACAAUCAGUCAUUGAGAAUUAACACCCUCAAUUUUCAAAAGCGCUUGAAUGGUACCAUUUAUUGUCACCAUUAACUUCUAAUGGUUUUCAAAAUUCACCCACACUGGUGGGGUUAAAGAUAAAUGUUUUAUAUAAAAAAAACCCACCCACAAUGAGUUGAGACAACUAAUCACUCUCUCAAACUUACUCUUUUUAGUUCUUUCUUUUCUUUUUCUUUUUUGGCAAAAGGUAAGUAGAACUCUUUUUAGUUCUUAAGACCAGCAAAACUUGGAAAACACCUAGGACUUAAAACCUUUUAUUUUGUCUCAACUUUUUUGAAAAUAGCAUCAUCUUUUCAUUCAUACCAAACCUGAUCGUGAGUCUGGGUAAAUCAAAUCCGGGCCGUAGACCUUAUUUUGGGUGUCUCUCUCCUCCUCCUCCUCCUCCUCCUCCUUUUUUUUUUUUUUUUUUUUUUUUGGGGGGGGGGGGGGGGGGGGGGGGUUAUAUUAUCAAGUGGAUUUUGCUUUGUUGUAUGUUGGAAGUGUUUUGCUACUCAUUAAGUGAAGACUUUUUCUUUGGCAACACUUAGAGAAUACUUAGGCUAGGCUGCGCGAAAUGCUAUCACUCUUUUAAAUACUUGCAACACAUUAUCAGAAUCGACAAUUAAGAAUGAUUUAGGAGCUGACGGUGGUCACUGUGGCUUGCCGCGUGGCAAACGAUAUCUGAGCAUUUCCACCGGCCGAACACAUCUGGACCCUUCAAUCUAGUAAGACACAAGUGUUUUACGCGUAAAAUUUAUCGAGUUCAACAUUCCAAAUAGAUUUCGAGUUUAUGUACAUGGUCCACCCCCUUCUGUUUCCUUCUUCACCGAAUACGAAUAAGUUUUCUUUUUCCUUCUCCGGCAUCGAGUAUGUCGUGACUGAUGAAAUCAGUUUUCUUGAUGCAUUAUCGGUGGCACACUCAGCGUAAACUCGAACAUGUUUUCUGGGGUUUUGUUGUUGCGAAAAAUUUGAGGCAUUGUUCCCACUCUUUUCGAGUGGACAAUGAAUGAAAGUGUGAAUCACAACGGAGUCGAUUUCUUGACUUAAGGACAAAAAGGAGAGAGUUUGAAUUGCCACGCCUAUUGUGAUCACAUGUCGUUCCAUGUGAUUAAGAAUUCGUCCCUAGACACCAUAAUUUUAGGCUAAAUUAAAGUACUCCAAAAGUGCACGAGAAAGUUGAGGACUACUGCUCAUUUUGAGGCGAUGGAAAAACGGUACAUCGUGACAUUUGCCUGACAUGGGAUUUACCACUCCACUUGUAAUGCACGAAGUUAAUCCUAAGCGAACGACAAAUCAAUUGAUCUGGUGUAUAGUUUGUACAAUAGACGUGCUAAGAACAAUCCAUUGAAUUUGAUAGCCCUAUGGACAACCACGAAAUAAUUUCAAUAUAUUGGAAAAAGUUGGAAAAAAAAAAGUAAGUGUGCAAUCACAGUGGGGCCUUAGUUAGAUAUGAUGAGCUGAAUCUAUCCAACUCAGCCGCAGAUAGGAGAAUCAUGAUGUGUUGUCUUGCUCUUUCUUUCUUAAGCAUGUAUGGUGUGAAGCGGACUCAUAAUCGAGUAAGGAUAUACCCUAGCGGCUUGAAAAUUUCUAGAGAGUGGACCGAUCCAGACUCUCAUCCAAGUGAGGUAAACGAUAUGCAGGCCCAAGAGAGAGUGUGCCAUUCGAAAUUAGAGCUUGAAUUUUCGACAUUUUGUUAGAUGACUAUUAGAAUGUCCAAAUAUGUGGGAAAAGUCAAAAGGACUAAAGAGGUUCCUCAAUAGUCGCAUAGUUCACAUCGUUGUGCCUUAACAAAGCGAGCUAUAUUAAAUGACACCUAGGCAUGAUUAAAAGAAAUGCUCAAUGAUUGAUCACCAGUAAUCUUCUUUGAGAUCGGGGAUUUCAGAGAUGUUAGAGACUAGGAGAUGGCGGACACGGAAGGUGCUCUCCCAGUCGAUGUCGUCGAUCUCGGACUGAGUGGCCUCGAGGCCUUUGCU
rnacentral:lncRNA from 1 species